UUAAGUGACUAAGCGUACACGGUGGAUGCCUAGGCAGUCAGAGGCGAUGAAGGGCGUGUUAAUCUGCGAUAAGCGUCGGUAAGGUGAUAUAAACCGUUACAACCGGCGAUACCCGAAUGGGGAAACCCAGUGCAAUUCGUUGCACUAUCAUACGAUGAAUACAUAGUCGUAUGAGGCGAACCGGGGGAACUGAAACAUCUAAGUACCCCGAGGAAAAGAAAUCAACCGAGAUUCCCCCAGUAGCGGCGAGCGAACGGGGAGGAGCCCAGAACCUGAAUCAGUUCUUGUGUUAGUGGAAGCGUCUGGAAAGUCGCACAGCAAAGGGUGAUAGUCCCGUACACUAAAAUGCAUUAAUUGUGAGUUCGAUGAGUAGGGCGGGACACGUGACAUCCUGUCUGAAUAUGGGGGGACCAUCCUCCAAGGCUAAAUACUCCUGACUGACCGAUAGUGAACCAGUACCGUGAGGGAAAGGCGAAAAGAACCCCGGCGAGGGGAGUGAAAUAGAACCUGAAACCGUGUACGUACAAGCAGUGGGAGCCUACUUUGUUGGGUGACUGCGUACCUUUUGUAUAAUGGGUCAGCGACUUAUAUUUUGUAGCAAGGUUAACCGUAUAGGGGAGCCGUAGGGAAACCGAGUCUUAACUGGGCGAAUAGUUGCAAGGUAUAGACCCGAAACCCGGUGAUCUAGCCAUGGGCAGGUUGAAGGUUGGGUAACACUAACUGGAGGACCGAACCGACUAAUGUUGAAAAAUUAGCGGAUGACUUGUGGCUGGGGGUGAAAGGCCAAUCAAACCGGGAGAUAGCUGGUUCUCCCCGAAAGCUAUUUAGGUAGCGCCUCGUGAACUCAUCUUCGGGGGUAGAGCACUGUUUCGGCUAGGGGGCCAUCCCGGCUUACCAAACCGAUGCAAACUCCGAAUACCGAAGAAUGUUAUCACGGGAGACACACGGCGGGUGCUAACGUCCGUCGUGAAGAGGGAAACAACCCAGACCGCCAGCUAAGGUCCCAAAGUCAUGGUUAAGUGGGAAACGAUGUGGGAAGGCAUAGACAGCCAGGAUGUUGGCUUAGAAGCAGCCAUCAUUUAAAGAAAGCGUAAUAGCUCACUGGUCGAGUCGGCCUGCGCGGAAGAUGUAACGGGGCUAAACCAUGCACCGAAGCUGCGGCAGCGACGCUUAGGCGUUGUUGGGUAGGGGAGCGUUCUGUAAGCCGUUGAAGGUGGCCUGUGAGGGUUGCUGGAGGUAUCAGAAGUGCGAAUGCUGACAUAAGUAACGAUAAAGCGGGUGAAAAACCCGCUCGCCGGAAGACCAAGGGUUCCUGUCCAACGUUAAUCGGGGCAGGGUGAGUCGACCCCUAAGGCGAGGCCGAAAGGCGUAGUCGAUGGGAAACAGGUUAAUAUUCCUGUACUCGGUGUUACUGCGAAGGGGGGACGGAGAAGGCUAGGCUAGCCGGGCGACGGUUGUCCCGGUUUAAGCGUGUAGGGGGAGUGACUUGGUAAAUCCGGUUACUUAUUCAACCCUGAGGCGUGAUGACGAUGCACUACGGUGCAGAAGUAGUUGAUGCCAAGCUUCCAGGAAAAGCCUCUAAGCAUCAGGUAACAUCAAAUCGUACCCCAAACCGACACAGGUGGUCAGGUAGAGAAUACCAAGGCGCUUGAGAGAACUCGGGUGAAGGAACUAGGCAAAAUGGUGCCGUAACUUCGGGAGAAGGCACGCUGGCGCGUAGGUGAAGAGACUUGCUCUCGGAGCUGAAGCCAGUCGCAGAUACCAGCUGGCUGCAACUGUUUAAUAAAAACACAGCACUGUGCAAACACGAAAGUGGACGUAUACGGUGUGACGCCUGCCCGGUGCUGGAAGGUUAAUUGAUGGGGUCAGCCGCAAGGCGAAGCUCUUGAUCGAAGCCCCAGUAAACGGCGGCCGUAACUAUAACGGUCCUAAGGUAGCGAAAUUCCUUGUCGGGUAAGUUCCGACCUGCACGAAUGGCGUAA
rnacentral:rRNA from 1 species